AUAACCUGCCAAGUAUGUAUCCUUGGUGGAAGAGGCAUUCUUGCUGCAUUGCACUAGAACCCACUAGAGGCUCAAAGAGAACUUCCCACUAAGGCCGAGGGGUAUACUGUGGCAGCUUGCUGGACUCCAGAGCCAGGAACUUUGCUUUGCCUUGGAAUCAUUGCAGGAAUGGCCUCAAGCCUGCCUAUGUAAGAAGCUGAAUCUAUAUUCGGGGCCAUAUGUGUCUCACUGUGUUUACAGCUAUGGUCUGCUCUCAGAAAACUACCUGGAGUCUUCCUGCCUGUCACCCUCCCCAGACUGACUAGAAAUCAUAUCUUCUUUCUCCACAGUGCCUACCUCUGUUUGAGACAGGUGCUUCAUGGUGUAUUCUUGGGCACAAAGAAUUUUCCACUGAUUAGGCAAUACAAUUAUUAUUCAUCUAAUUCUAAUAAAUUGUGUCUGAGAGCAGGUGAUUAAACUGGAUAACUUCCAAAAGCCCCUUAGAGUUUGAAUAUAGGUGGCGCCCAACAUUUGCCUGCCACAGUAGAGUUCAGAAUUCCCGAAUCAUAUACUCCCUUGGACAUCAGCAAAGCAUAGUUUUUCUACCUUUCUGGGAGGAAGGGGUGUGGGGAUAGAACAGGAAAUGUUGUACAUGUUUGUUGAAACCCAAGAUCUUAUCUGGAAGAACAGCAGGCAAUGGCCCACUAGCCCAGUCUUUCUGUGCUGCUCUCCUAGAGC
rnacentral:lncRNA from 1 species